rnacentral:siRNA from 1 species
GGGGUGGUGGCGCAGUUGGC